rnacentral:rRNA from 1 species
AGAGUUUGAUCCUGGCUCAAAUGAACGCUGGCGGCGUGCUUUACACAUGCAAGUCGAGCGAGGCGGCCCGCAAGGGCCAGUCGAGCGGCGAACGGGUGAGUAACACGUGGAUCAUCUGCCCAGAGGUGGGGGAUAACCCGGGGAAACUCGGGCUAAUACCGCAUAUGACCGGAAGGUCAAAGGGGGGUCGCAAGAUCUCUCGCCAUUGGAGGAGUCCGCGUCCGAUUAGCUAGUUGGUAGGGUAAUGGCCUACCAAGGCGACGAUCGGUAGCCGGCCUGAGAGGGUGAUCGGCCACACUGGAACUGAGACACGGUCCAGACUCCUACGGGAGGCAGCAGUGGGGAAUUUUGCGCAAUGGGCUAACGCCUGACGCAGCAACGCCGCGUGGAGGAUGAAGGUCUUUGGAUUGUAAACUCCUGUCAGCAGGGAAAAAGCGACCUGACCUCAUACGUCAGGGAGUUGAUUGUACCUGCAGAGGAAGCCCCGGCUAACUCUGUGCCAGCAGCCGCGGUAAUACAGAGGGGGCAAGCGUUAUUCGGAAUUAUUGGGCGUAAAGGGCGCGUAGGCGGCCAGUCAAGUGGAAGGUGAAAUCCCUCGGCUUAACCGAGGAACUGCCUUCCAGACUGUUUGGCUUGAGACCAGGAGAGGUGAGUGGAAUUCCCAGUGUAGCGGUGAAAUGCGUAGAUAUUGGGAGGAACACCAGUGGCGAANGCGGCUCACUGGACUGGUACUGACGCUGAGGCGCGAAAGCGUGGGGAGCAAACGGGAUUAGAUACCCCGGUAGUCCACGCCGUAAACGAUGAGUGCUUGGUGUAGCGGGUAUCGACCCCUGCUGUGCCGAAGUCAACACAUUAAGCACUCCGCCU